AUCAACGCUGGCGGCGUGCCUAACACAUGCAAGUCGAACGAGAAAGUGGAGCAAUCCAUGAGUUAAAGUGGCGCACGGGGUGAGUAACACGUGACUAACCUACCCUUGGAGUGUGGGAAUAACUUCGGGGAAAACCGAGGCUAAUACCGCAUAACACCGAGAGGUCAAAGGAGCAAUUCGCUUAAGGAGGGGGUCGCGGCUGAUUAGCUAGUUGGCAGGGUAAUGGCCUACCAAGGCAAUGAUCAGUAUCCGGCCUGAGAGGGCGCACGGACACACUGGAACUGAAACACGGUCCAGACUCCUACGGGAGGCAGGCAGUGGGGAAUUUUGCACAAAUGGGGGAAACCCUGAUGCAGCAACGCCGCGUGGAGGAUGAAGUCCCCUUGGGAUGUAAACUCCUUUCGACCGGGACGAUAAUGACGGUACCGGUGGAAGAAGCCCCGGCUAACCUCUGUGCCAGGCAGCCCGGCGGUAAUACAGAGGGGGCAAGCGUUGUUCGGAAUUAUUGGGCGUAAAGGGUGCGUAGGCGGUGCGGGUAAGUCUUUUGUGAAAUCUCCGGGCUCAACUCGGAGUCUGCAGGAGAAAACUGCCGUGCUUGAGUAUGGGAGAGGGUGAGUGGAAUUCCUGGUGUAGCGGUGAAAUGCGUAGAUAUCAGGAGGAACACCUGUGGCGAAAGCGGCUCAACUGGACCAUAACACUGACGCUGAUGCACGAAAAGCUAGGGGAGCAAACAGGAUUAGAUACCCUGGUAGUCCUAGGCCCUAAAACGAUGAUUUGCUUGGUGUAGCAGGUACCCAAUCCUGCUGUGCCGCAGCUACACGCGUUUAAAGCAAUCCGCCUGGGGGGUACGGUCGCAAGGCUGAAAACUCAAAGGAAUUGACGGGGGCCCGCACAGGCGGUGGAGCAUGUUGGUUCAAUUCGACGCAAACGCGAAAGAACCUUAACCUGGGCUCGAAGCGCAGUGGACAACGGUAGAAAUAUCGUCUUCCCCCGCAAGGGGACUGCUGCGUAGGUGCUGCAUGGCUGUCGUCAGCUCGGUGUCGUGAGAUGUUGGGUUAAGGUCCCGCAACGAGCGCAACCCUUAUUGCCAGUUGCCAUCAUUUAGUUGGGCACUCUGGCGAAAACUGCCCCCGGAUAACGGGGAGGGAAGGUGGGGAUGACGGUCCAAGGUCCUCAUGGCCUUUAUGUCCAGGGGCUACACACGUGCUACAAUGGCAGAUACAAACCGUCGCAAAAGCCCGCGAGGGGGGAGCUAAUCGGAGAAAGUCUGCCUCAGUUCGGAUUGUAGUCUGCAACUCGACUACAUGAAGCUGGAAUCGCUAGUAAUUGCAGAUCAGCAUGCUGCGGUGAAUACGUUUCCCGGGCCUUGUACACAACCGCCCCGUCACAUCACGAAAAGUGGGUUUGUACUAGAAGUCGGGUGAGCCCAACCGCAAGGAGGUAGCCGCCCAAGGUAUAAACUCAUGGUUGGGGUG
rnacentral:rRNA from 1 species